CACAAGACCAUCCUGUGGUUUCCAGGAACUGGUCUUGAGAAGCAUUGCUGCUCCCACUGUGGAUAGUAUCCAAACCAACCCCUGUGUGGCAAAGAGAACAUCAACAAUGUCUAGGCAACACGAUGACCAUAUACGUACGUAAUAGACGAUCUUUAUAGAAGCUUGCUUUAUAUGUUUCUCAAAAAUAUUGUUAAUAGCAGUGACUACAUUAUUACAUGAGCACUGUUCAACAGCGUUUGGUAUUUCCAUUUACAUACAUUCAUUCGAAAUAAGAUGGGGUAUGUACUCUUUUUCAUUUCUGUUUGUAUUAUAGUUUAUAAUUUUUGUAAAGUGAUAUGUGCAUGCAGGUCACCGUCUGUAAAAUUUUAUUUUCAGUUUAUGAAGCAAUUCUAUAUCCUCCCACCACGCUGACGAAGAAUUCUACGAAACAGUAGCCAAUAUCCGGAGUCACCAUUCAGUGUUGGACAUCAUAUUUGCUGAAAACACAAAGCUUCACAGCCUGUCUUUCAUCAUACAAAGUCUGGUCCCUCGCUUCAUGUAAAGUCUUUGAGACUAAAGAAUUCAUUUUGAACUUUUUAUGGUUUGAAGGAAUUCUAUAAAGAUUGUCUAUUACAUAUGUAUAUGGUCAUCGUGUUGCCUAGACGUUGUUGACGCUCCCACUGUGGAGGCA